rnacentral:rRNA from 1 species
AACGAACGCUGGCGGCAGGCUUAACACAUGCAAGUCGAACGCCCCGCAAGGGGAGUGGCAGGCGGGUGAGUAACACGUGGGAACAUGCCCAAAGGUACGGAAUAUUCUCGGGAAACUGGGAGCAAUACCGUAUGUGCCCGAAAGGGGAAAGAUUUAUCGCCUUUGGAUUGGCCCGCGUUGGAUUAGCUAGUUGGUGGGGUAAAAGCCUACCAAGGCGACGAUCCAUAGCUGGUCUGAGAGGACGACCAGCCACACUGGGACUGAGACACGGCCCAGACUCCUACGGGAGGCAGCAGUGGGGAAUCUUGGACAAUGGGCGCAAGCCUGAUCCAGCCAUGCCGCGUGAGUGAUGAAGGCCCUAGGGUUGUAAAACUCUUUCGUGGGGGACGAUAAUGACGGUACCCCAAGAAGAAGCUCCGGCUAACUUCGUGCCAGCCGCCGCGGUAAUAC